rnacentral:lncRNA from 1 species
CGACCGGCGACGACAGACAGCUCGGGGCUCGCCGUUGUGCUGCGCCUGACCGUCUGCCACCGUUGGCUCGGAGCCCGCAACCUUGCCGCGCCCGACAGCCUUCCGCUGUAUGCAUCACGCCUCGGUUCUCUGUCUCUCCGUGACUUGGUCACCGGACUGAUAGCGGCUGGAGUUGGCGGUGACCGGCGAAGGCGUGACUUCGUCGUUUCAACCACUGCAUUCUCCGGCCAUGACUUGGUCACCGGAGCAGUGGUGUUUGAAGGACGACGAUGACUGGAGAUGGAG